GUGCGCUGAACAGCCGCGGGCAGAGUUUGAAAAAACCUGUGCGAGGAAAGUCCGGGCUUCACAGAGCAAAAAUAACGGCUAACGGCCGCCGGGGGCGACCCCAGGGAUAGUGCAACAGAAAAUUACCGCCGAAUUUAAUUCGGUAAGGAUGGAAAGGUGAGGUAAGAGCUCACCGGAGGCUUGGAGACAAGCCUGCCGUGUAAACCCUAUUUGAAGCAACACCGUGGUAGAACAUUAUUCGCUUGCUCGGCGAGUUCUUAGGAGGUGGCAUCGAGCAGCAGGGGCAACCCUCUGCCAAGAUAGAUGGCUGUUCACGACAGAACCCGGCUUACAGGCGCAGUC
rnacentral:RNase_P_RNA from 1 species